UACGGGGGGGGGCAAGCGUUGUUCGGAAUUACUGGGCGUAAAGGGUCUGUAGGUGGCCAACUAAGUCAGACGUGAAAUCCCUCAGCUUAACUGGGGAACUGCGUCUGAUACUGGUUGGCUUGAGUGCAGGAGAGGAAUGCGGAAUUCCAGGUGUAGCGGUGAAAUGCGUAGAUAUCUGGAGGAACACCGGUGGCGAAGGCGGCAUUCUGGACUGCAACUGACACUGAAAGACGGAAGCCAGGGGAGCAAACGGG
rnacentral:rRNA from 1 species